ensembl:snRNA U1 U1 spliceosomal RNA
AUACUUACCUGGAUGGGGAGACAUCAUGAUCACAAAGAUGAUAUCCCAGGGCAAGACUUAUCCAUUGCACUCUGGAUGUGCUGACCCCUGUGAUUUCCCCAAACAUAGGAAACUAGAUUGCAUAAUUUGUGGUAGUGGGGGACUAUGUUCGCACUUUCCACUA